AGAGAUGUGUGAUGACGCAUAUCAAUAAGCGGAGGAAAAGAAACUAACAAGGAUUCCCUUAGUAACGGCGAGUGAAGCGGGAAGAGCUCAAAUUUGAAAUCUUCAAGGUUCUACCUUGACGAAUUGUAGUUUAAAGAAGUGUUUUCUGUUAGUGGAGUGGCAAAAGUUCUUUGGAAUAGGACAUCAUAGAGGGUGAGAAUCCCGUAUUUGGUCAUUCCUUCUAGCUUUGUGAUACACCUUCAAAGAGUCGGAUUGUUUGGGAAUGCAGUCCAAAAUGGGUGGUAAAUUUCAUCUAAAGCUAAAUAUUGGCGAGAGACCGAUAGCGAACAAGUACCGUGAGGGAAAGAUGAAAAGAACUUUGAAAAGAGAGUUAAACAGUACGUGAAAUUGUCAAAAGGGAAGCGUUUGACACCAGUGUUGUUUUUCCGAAAAUCAAUUACGAAUGUUUUAUUUUUGAGGAGUUAUGACUUCAUCGGCUUGCUCCUUUCUUUAUGAAACUUUCUUAAUGCACUUUUCGGUUAACAAGUCAACAUCAAUUUCUUUUGUUGUAAAAGAGUAUUGGGAAGGUGGCUUUCUUUUCGGAGAAAGUGUUUAUAGCCCUUGUACUUCUGCAAUCGGAGAGAUUGAGGUCUGCAGCGUAGAUCCUUCGGGGUUAGAUACAUUUGUGCUAAGUUAUAGCUUUUCAUAGACAACUUGUUGACUAUGUUAAGUCUUGUAGCUUACUCGCUUAUGCUAUUUUACCUACGCUUAGGAUGUUGACGAUCAGCUGAGCGCG
rnacentral:rRNA from 1 species